UACGUAGGUGGUUUUCUAAGCACGGGGUUUAAGGCAAUGGCUUAACCCUUGUUCGCCUUGUGAACUGGAAGACUUGAGUGCAGGAGAGGAAAGCGGAAUUCCUAGUGUAGCGGUGAAAUGCGUAGAUAUUAGGAGGAACACCAGUGGCGAAGGCGGCUUUCUGGACUGUAACUGACACUGAGGUACGAAAGCGUGGGGAGCAAACA
rnacentral:rRNA from 1 species